rnacentral:lncRNA from 1 species
CUUAAUAUGAACGUAACUUUUAUUGUAAAUCGUGUCUUUUUUGUCAUGUAAUUUAAAUUAAUGAGAGAAAAUAAUAUAUUCCAAAUCUAUUUGUUCCUAUGAAUUACGGCGCUUCUUUCUUUUAAGAGUCAUAGGAUAAAAGAGGGUCUAGAAAAGGAGGGAGGUGGGUGUUCUUUAAUUCUUAAUAUUAUUUACGCCAUGCAUGUUUUCUUUAUUCUAUACAAAUUUUGCACGUUAUUCUCUAUUCUUUAUAUUCUAGAAGCCCACUAUUCUUUAUUCUUAAAUUGUUAGCCUAUCUUUUUCUUUUCUAUUUAUUUUUUUCAUUUUCAAUGCAGUUUCGUGUUCCCCUGCAAGUGGUCAAUUUUUCUUUGUAUUCCACAGCUGUGUACUAAUAUCAAGAUAACACGAUACUGAAUGGCAUAUCUCCCGAUUUCUAAUUUUUUUUACACACACUUUUACUUUGAAUCGAGUUACAUCGGAAUGAAACAGAUAUUUUGUCUAGUGUUGUAGACUAUAUGUAUAUAAAGCAAUCUAUGGAAUUGCGAAAAUAAGCUCCACAUUGGUCAAUUAUAUACUUAUAAUAUAGAAUAGAAUAGGAUAGAAUAGAAUAGAAUAUUUUUAUUAACCAAAUAAGGGCCCCAGGAGGGCAUAUAGCAUACAGACAAUAUUAUUAUAAACAAUAACAUAUGCAAUACACAGACAAUACAAGAUAUAUAACAAGUGUUAACAAAAUAAUAAAAUAAAAGUAGCAAUGUAUUAUUAUUCAAUGAAUACUUUGUUGACAUCAGUGACUCAAGUGCACCCGGUAAGUGCAUUUUCACUUUGAAAAGACCAACAAGAGGCAUUAGUAGUUUGUGGGGAGAAAAUAUAAAAAAAAAUAAAAAAAAAAAAACAAUUUAAGCACUCGCACAUUUGACCAUGAGGUAUACUGCAAAUAACAAGUAUUAUUGUAUAGCAAUAUAAUAUUUCCCACAGAACGUAACCAAAAGUUAGCGUGCAAUAAAUUCUAAUAUUGCACUAGUUCAAUAAAUUUUCAAAAUUCAUGACGUCAUCAACGUUUAAAUCUUAGUUUAAGCCAAUUUUUACUGUCAAAUAUUAUAUUGCUAUACAAUAAAAGGGUUAUUGCAUGAAUAUUGGGGAAUAUUGUCCCUCGUAGAACAUAUAUUGCACUCUCAAGC